GUAAGGUAGUGGCUUACCAAGGUUUUGACGGGUAACGGGGAAUCAGGGUUCGAUUCCGGAGAGGGAGCCUGAGAAACGGCUACCACUUCCAAGGAAGGCAGCAGGCGCGCAAAUUACCCAAUCCAGACAUUGGGAGGUAGUGACGAGAAAUACCGAGGUGGGAUGUAAAAAUUUCACUAUCGGAAUGAACGUAACUUAAAACCUUUGCUGAGUAACAACUGGAGGGCAAGUCUGGUGCCAGCAGCCGCGGUAAUUCCAGCUCCAGUAGUGUAUUUCAAAAUUGUUGCGGUUAAAACGCUCGUAGUCGGAUUAGAAGAACGUUAUGAAUUCCGACAACUGCGCGCGGUUUCGCGAUAGCAGCGAGUCGGGUGACGUUCUUUUGUCGCAAGUUCUGGCUGUAGGCUUUAUUGCUUGUAGCCGGCCACUUGCGAAGCGUGCCUUGAAUAAAGCAGAGUGCUCAAAGCAAGCGUAUCGCUAGAAUGUAAUAGCAUGGAACGAAUACAUGUUAGAGCAGGUAUUGCUCAGUUGGUUGGUGGGGCUGUUGUUGCGGCGAGGUCGAGUGUUUUUAAUGCUUGGCGCGUUGCGAUGAUGGUCGCUGAGUGUGGCUGCGGUAGGUUAAUUUCGGUUAACUUAUCGAAAAGUGCAUACAGAGCUGAGCAGCCUGUCGGUUAAGAGGGACAUUUGAGGGCGUUAGUACUUGGUGGCGAGAGGUGAAAUUCUUAGACCCACCAAAGACUGACAAAUGCGAAAGCAUUCGCCAAGAGUGUUUUCAUUGAUCAAGAACGAAAGUUGGAGGCUCGAAGACGAUCAGAUACCGUCCUAGUUCCAUACAGUAAACGAUGCCAACACGCGAUCAGUCUGAAGUUAUUUGGAUUGAGGUUGGUCGCCCAGGGAAACUGAAAGUGUUCUGGUUCUGGGGAGAGUACGGUCGCAAGGUUGAAAUUUAAAGGAAUUGACGGAAAGGCACCACCAGGAGUGGAGCCUGCGGCUUAAUUUGACUCAACACGGGACAACUCACCAGGUCCGGACAUUGGUAGGAUUGACAGACUGAUAGAUCUUUCAUGAUUUGAUGAUUGGUGGUGCAUGGCCGUUCUUAGUUGGUGGAGUGAUCUGUCAGGUUUAUUCCGGUAACGAGCGAGACCACGGUGUCUAGUUGAUGGCCGAGUCACGGCAGGGUAACUCCGAAGUGGACCCCAGGUUGUCGUUUUGCUGACAGUAGUUGAGACUAGUGAGAUGCUGAUGUGUGGCAGCAAUGUUGCAUGUUGGUGUUGCGUUGGUCGCUUCUAUUGAUUGGUAGAGCGGCGGCUAGGGUGUUCCAGUGUGACUCGGAUACUAGACAGACAACCGGAGAACCAAGCCGGGGGAAGCGUGGCAAUAACAGGUCUGUGAUGCCCUUCGAUGUUCUGGGCUGCACGCGCGCUACAAUGGCAGUGACAGAAAGGAGCCUAGUCGAAAGACUCGGCCAAACUGGAAUCGCUGUCGUGAUUGGGAUUGAGCUUUGUAAAUAGCUCAUGAAAGAGGAAUUCCUCGUAAGCGCGAGUCACUAACUCGUGUUGAAUACGUCUCUGCCCUUUGUACACACCGCCCGUCGCUACUACUGAUUGAAUUGGUUUUUGAAGCGCAAGGAUUGGCGGUCAUCUUUUUGACCUGCCGAGAAUCGCCCUAAAAAAAUCAUUCGAGAGGAAGUAAAAGUCGUAACAAGGCUU
rnacentral:rRNA from 1 species